GCGGACGUGGUGAAAUUGGUAGACACGCUACCUUGAGGUGGUAGUGGGGAGACCCAUGCUGGUUCGAGUCCAGUCGUCCGCA
rnacentral:tRNA from 1 species